rnacentral:rRNA from 1 species
GACGAACGCUGGCGGCGCGCCUAACACAUGCAAGUCGAACGGAGCUGAGAGAAGCUUGCUUUUCUUAGCUUAGUGGCGAACGGGUGUGUAACGCGUGAGUAACCUGCCCUGGAGUGGGGGACAACAGUUGGAAACGACUGCUAAUACCGCAUAAGCCCACGAUCCGGCAUCGGAUUGAGGGAAAAGGAUUUAUUCGCUUCAGGAUGGACUCGCGUCCAAUUAGCUAGUUGGUGAGGUAACGGCCCACCAAGGCGACGAUUGGUAGCCGGACUGAGAGGUUGAACGGCCACAUUGGGACUGAGACACGGCCCAGACUCCUACGGGAGGCAGCAGUGGGGGAUAUUGCACAAUGGGGGAAACCCUGAUGCAGCGACGCCGCGUGGAGGAAGAAGGUUUUCGGAUUGUAAACUCCUGUCGUUAGGGACGAUAAUGACGGUACCUAACAAGAAAGCACCGGCUAACUACGUG